UCAUGUUUCUUUGGGCGUUGCUGGUGCUGCUGUUGCAUACGCUCUCAACGCACUUGCUUCCCAAGUUUCCGCCUUGAAGGCCUUCUGAAAGUGGUUGCAACUUGCAAGACUUGCAUGAGCUUCAAGUUUUUCACGUGGAUGCGAGGGACGAAACUGGAGGUCAUGUUUCUCAGGGUGUAUCAUCCUUGAUGCUGUGACACAAGAACCCAU